rnacentral:rRNA from 1 species
AGAGUUUGAUCCUGGCUCAGAUUGAACGCUGGCGGCAUGCUUUACACAUGCAAGUCGAACGGUAACAGGCCGCAAGGUGCUGACGAGUGGCGAACGGGUGAGUAAUGCAUCGGAACGUGCCCAGUCGUGGGGGAUAACGCAGCGAAAGCUGCGCUAAUACCGCAUACGAUCUAUGGAUGAAAGCGGGGGACCGUAAGGCCUCGCGCGAUUGGAGCGGCCGAUGUCAGAUUAGGUAGUUGGUGGGGUAAAGGCUCACCAAGCCGACGAUCUGUAGCUGGUCUGAGAGGACGACCAGCCACACUGGGACUGAGACACGGCCCAGACUCCUACGGGAGGCAGCAGUGGGGAAUUUUGGACAAUGGGCGCAAGCCUGAUCCAGCAAUGCCGCGUGCAGGAAGAAGGCCUUCGGGUUGUAAACUGCUUUUGUACGGAACGAAACGGUCCUGGUUAAUACCUGGGGCUAAUGACGGUACCGUAAGAAUAAGCACCGGCUAACUACGUGCCAGCAGCCGCGGUAAUACGUAGGGUGCAAGCGUUAAUCGGAAUUACUGGGCGUAAAGCGUGCGCAGGCGGUUUUGUAAGACAGGCGUGAAAUCCCCGGGCUUAACCUGGGAAUUGCGCUUGUGACUGCAAGGCUGGAGUGCGGCAGAGGGGGAUGGAAUUCCGCGUGUAGCAGUGAAAUGCGUAGAUAUGCGGAGGAACACCGAUGGCGAAGGCAAUCCCCUGGGCCUGCACUGACGCUCAUGCACGAAAGCGUGGGGAGCAAACAGGAUUAGAUACCCCGGUAGUCC